rnacentral:lncRNA from 1 species
AUAUCACACACACACACACACACGGGUCAAGCACACAAUAUAUCUUAAUGUAUAAAGGCCAGUUGUGGUCCUUGGUGCCAGAUUCAGAUAACUCAUCUCUCAGUUACUUUGUCAAGACAAAGAAGCCUGUGGAUCAGAAGGAUAAAAUGGAAGAGGAAAACAAAUCAGAACCCCGUUUAGCUGGGGACACUCAAUGUGGAGGAGGCACAGAUUUGACUUUGAAAUUUAGGAUGCCUUGCACUCAGCAACUAACACAGGACACAGCACACAAGGGGGCCUCAACUGAAAAAUGAAAAUCAAGGACUUAUUCCUGGGCACCAAAGGUCUGACCAACCCCUUCACUCACUAACCAGUUUCCAGUGUGACCAAGACAGAGAACACAGGACAGAAACUAGCAGGCCACCAGCUGAAGGCAAAAAGGUGAGGACACUGAGUCUUAGGGAGGUUAAGAGAAGUGCCUAUAAUAUUUCUGUUGGUAUAUCAAAAUAAUUGAGAUUUCAACCCAGAUCAGCGUGGUUCUGAAGGCCAUACUCUUCCUUGCAAACAAAUGGGCCAAUCAGCGACUCAGAAGUUAAUCGGGGGAGCUGGGAUUAAACACUUGCAUGAAAUAUGGAAACUAUUCUAGUCAUGGAGCAGAGCCUGGGAGCCAUACAUCUGAACAGUGUAAAAAU